CCUACGGGUGGCAGCAGUGAGGAAUAUUGGACAAUGGGCGCUAGCCUGAACCAGCCACGUAGCGUGAAGGAUGACUGCCCUAUGGGUUGUAAACUUCUUUUAUAUGGGAAUAAAGUGCAGUAUGUAUACUACUUGGCAUGUACCUUAUGAAUAAGGAUCGGCUAACUCCGUGCCAGCAGCCGCGGUAAUACGGAGGAACCGAGCGUUAUCCGGGUUUAUUGGGGUUAAAGGGAGCGUAGGAGGGUUGUUAGGUCAGUUGUGAAAGUUUGCGGCUCAACCGUAAAAUUGCAGUUGAUACUGGCAGCCUGGAGUACAGUAGAGGUAGGCGGAAUUCGUGGUGUAGCGGUGAAAU
rnacentral:rRNA from 1 species